rnacentral:rRNA from 1 species
ACANAAGAGCUUGCUCUCGGGUGANGAGUGGCGGACGGGUGAGUAAUGUCUGGGAAACUGCCUGAUGGAGGGGGAUAACUACUGGAAACGGUAGCUAAUACCGCAUAACGUCGCAAGACCAAAGAGGGGGACCUUCGGGCCUCUUGCCAUCAGAUGUGCCCAGAUGGGAUUAGCUAGUAGGUGGGGUAACGGCUCACCUAGGCGACGAUCCCUAGCUGGUCUGAGAGGAUGACCAGCCACACUGGAACUGAGACACGGUCCAGACUCCUACGGGAGGCAGCAGUGGGGAAUAUUGCACAAUGGGCGCAAGCCUGAUGCAGCCAUGCCGCGUGUAUGAAGAAGGCCUUCGGGUUGUAAAGUACUUUCAGCGGGGAGGAAGGUGUUGUGGUUAAUAACCGCAUCAAUUGACGUUACCCGCAGAAGAAGCACCGGCUAACUCCGUGCCAGCAGCCGCGGUAAUACGGAGGGUGCAAGCGUUAAUCGGAAUUACUGGGCGUAAAGCGCACNCAGGCGGUCUGUC